rnacentral:rRNA from 1 species
AGCAGCCGCGGUAAUUCCAGCUCCAAUAGCGUAUAUUAAAGUUGUUGCAGUUAAAAGCUCGUAGUUGAAUUUCGGGAUCAAUAUUUCGGUCAUGCCGUUGGUAUGCACUGUUAUCAUUGAUUUCUCACCUUCUAAAGAACCGUAAUGCCAUUAAUUUGGUGUUACGGGGAAUUAGGACUGUUACCUUGAAAAAUUAGAGCGUUUAAAGCAGGCUCACGCUUGAAUACAUUAGCAUGGAAUAAUGAGAUAGGACGUUCGAUCCUAUUUUGUUGGUUUCUAGGAUUGACGUAAUGAUUAAUAGGGAUAGGUUGGGGGCAUUAGUAUUCAAUUGUCAGAGGUGAAAUUCUUGGAUUUAUUGAAGACUAACUACUGCGAAAGCAUUUGCCAAGG